UGCGCCCCGUCCCCUUUCUCUUUCAGUGACUAUCGAGAAGGGUGAGAGAUGGCAGCGCGGAAACAGCGAGCAGGCGGCGGUUGGGAAUGGCGAGCGCAGCCGCCUCCGUUCCCCUCUCCCAUAUCUCUGCAAUGAAGCCCUAUCUCCGUGUUGUCUCGGCACUGUAUCACCGAAUCCGGUGAACAAGACGACGACUCAGAAAGGACUAUAGCCUGGGUAUAGUUGACAUAAAGAAUCUUAGAAAGAAGGCAUCGACACAGCAUUGAGGAAAUCAAACUUCUUAAGGAGCUGAGAGAGCGAUCUGAUGUGGUUUAUACCAUCUGAUUAUGCUAUCUGUUCUUUAUGUGCUUUCACGCUUGGGAAAGCAGGAGAGAGAGGUGGUGCUGCCUACAAUGAGGCUUAUAAUGUUGUGGCAGCAGCCCUGCUUUUACGGUCUGAACAAAAGAUCAAGAUGCAACAGAUGUGUGAUAUUUUAUUGCGUAUAUGUCGCUUUUCAGGUAAAAAAAGAUAUAUGCCAUGAUCACUAUUAUAGUUGGUUAUUUUGAGCUAUAGCAUGAGCUUGAUUACUCAAGGCCUAGAAUUGUUAUGU